UAGAGAAAGGGCCUAUGAUGGAAUCAUUGAAUCUCAGCGACGCGGUGAAAGAUCUAAAAGAGGUGGAUGAUCCCAAGUAUUGAAAAUAUCACCGCAUCGUCAGUCACCCUACAGCAAGAUGCUUCGUCUUAAAGGAGAAGAUCAUGACGUUGGUGAGAGAUGGAAAGAUCAUCAUUGACGCUAAUGACACGGCCGAAGCGAACCAUGCUAGUGCUAAAAUCGAUCACAAGAAGGGAUCAACGUAAUAGUCUUCUCCAAGGUUCUCUAAAAAAUCAUGCUAGUGCUAAAAUCGAUCACAAGAAGGAAUCAAGAUAAUAGUCUUCUCCAAGGUUCUCUAACAAGCAAGGAGAGAUCCACGAGACGUUCUUCCUCAAGAUCAAUCUGAAGUGCUGAUGGAAGUUCAUUGAAGAUUCAACACAUCACAAGGAACUCGUUUCGUUCGAGAAAUACACUACAUUGUCCCUCGAAUUGAAGAAAACAAGAAGGAGUGAUCAAGAGAAGUUGUCCCUCGUGAUCAAUCCGAAGCGCUACUAACUCUUCUUGACGAUCAAGUAAAUCACAAGGAGGUCCACAUCAUCCUGCGCUCGAGAAAUACGCUGCUUCAGCCCUCGAAUCAAGGAAAACAAAUUAGAGACAAGAAUCAGGGGAUACACAUAGUUGUACUCACAAGUUUUAUUAAAAAAAGCAUUUUUCUUUACAUUUGUUUAUUGAUUGCAGUUAUUAAUUUCCGUACACGAAAUUUGUCGCGAACAGUAAGCUAAUCAAAUCAAUAUGAC
rnacentral:lncRNA from 1 species